GUCCCGGGCCAUUCCGAAGUCUCCAAUCUUGGCUACUCUUCCAGGGCCCGGACAGGUCAAGAGGCAGUUCCUGGCAGCAAUGUCCCUGGGAACAAAUCAAUGGGAAACGCAUUUUCUUAUUCCGCCUGGGAGAUUGCACGUGCAGUUUCAGCACUAGGAUUGUCACCUCUCGUCGGAAGGGAUCUCCUCCAAAGUCUUUGCUAAGCUGCCUGCCUCCUAGCCAGCGGCUGAAGAAUCACUUCUUCCAGGUUCUGGAGCCACAUUCUCUUCUCCUUUGAGCACCAGGUGGCCUGCCUGCCGGCAGCAUCCUAAGGCACAGCCAGAGGCUUCGCCACUCCUCACUGACUGCUGGCUCCCCCACUCCUGGCCUUCCAGUGGGAGCAGGGUGCAGCCAGGGGAGUCUGGGGUGGCCUAACAAGUCCAGGGCAGAAACAAGUAGCAGUCCUUGGGAGCCACAGCUGGUGCUUGAUGUUUCUGACUGAUUUCGUGCAGGUCCUGAUCUUUGGUCGAGAAGGACGUGCAGCAUAAACAACUGUAGUGUGUCUUAAAAACAAGAUCUGGAUGGGAAAUUGUGGCUUAGGAAACCAGAACGAUGGGCCAGGGAGGGAGAUGGAUGUUGUUGAUACCACGGACCUGACCCAGAGGUUUAAGUUGAAUUUCGAGGAGCAAUGUGCAUAAAAUGCCCUAAUAAAACCAUAGAAGCGUAACAGGUAUGACACCAAAAAGAAGAAAUAUAGCGGGAUAUAUAGCCAUUACUUCUCAAGAGAAAUACGGCGAAGUAGACCAGGGACAGUAUUUAUGGCUCCAGAAAGGUCUUUACGCUGAUGUGCGUGGAAUGGUUGCUUCAAAAAGUGAUCUUGAAUUUAAUGGCAAGAAAGUAAAUAUAGUAUCAUAGAACACACCAGGAAUUGGUAGAAUGACACAUAAUUUGUGAAGUGGUAAAAAACUACAACCAAAGGAAACAGACCUAGUAGAAAAUGGGAGUGUGUGGGGGCGUUCACUCUGAAUUCAGGGGGUGCCCUUGCAUGGGAGCCUGGGAAUCGGGGGCAGACAAAGGGUGGAGGAGAGAGAAUGAGAGGUGAUCCUUUUGUGCACAUGCGCCACAGACCUCGCAGCCCGUUGGAGAUGCAAAAGAUGCUUUCCUAAUACCGAGCUCCCCAGAAGCAAAGCUUGGAUCGAGACAGUCAAUUUCUGCCCGAAGCCGCCUUUUGCUUAUAAAGCAGAUCAUCUGAUACAUUCUUGAUUUAUCUCUGACAAUUUCAUUUCUCAAACAAGAUCAAAGGAGCAACAAGCUAUUACUCUGGGAUCAAAUCCUGACCUUCAUUCAGUAACUCUUCGCAGAUACGGAGGCGAUGGAAGUCCUGAGAGAAUGGGGCCCUGUUAUCUUAUUAUCUCUAAUAACAGAGCCCUGGAUAUGGUCCCAGGUAUCAUGGCUUCAGGAAAGCAGGUUUCAACACAUUGGAGGAAAGAUGGAUGGGAUCCCUCAGCCAGGGAGUGUGUCUGCUCGGUGAUGCUGCAAGAGGAGACGACAAAGCAGAGAUGCUCUCGGGGAGAAGCAAAGGGGGACAUCUGAAGGCACCAAGGUGACUGUACAGGUCGCUCUCGGAUGGUCCAGUCGUAAAGGACAUAGACAUUGAUGCAAAGGUGGCUGUAACCAAGGACGAAUUCCACAAAGGGCACAGCUUUGUCAUGUCCAUGCGACAGUAAAGAGCUGAGAUGCAGGCAAAGUUCUGGGCACACAGACAGGGCAAGAACAACACGGCAGACUGACCUGCGCCCUGAAGCAGGGGGUGUGGCUUUGGAGGAGAACAGGAGGUUGGGAAGGUUGAGAAUCAAGAGGAAGAACUGCAGACCACAGGUGCCGUGACAAAAAGAUAAGGCCGUGUGAGGGUUUGCAGCCUGGCUUCGGGAAUACUUUGGGCAGCCAGAAGUAAGCUGUUGGCUGAGAAAGUCCCGCGCAGCCACAGGACAGAGAUCUGCAUGCUCUGAUGCCUACAGCAUGGCCCGUGGCCUUGGGUCGUAGCCCAAACACCAUUGAAACACGAGGAUCCGGUGGAGUAGAAGUCAGGUGUACAAGUAAAUCAAAUAAUCACUAUGCUCAUUUCAGAAAAAUUAAUUUAUCCAACAAACAUUCCUUGUGCCUCACUAUGUGUCAGGGAUAUGAAGAUGAAUAAAACAGGGUCCUUGCCUUUGA